CGUCUAUAUACGUAUAGCAUAUCAAUAAGCGGAGGAAAAGAAACUAACUAGGAUUCCCUUAGUAACGGCGAGUGAAGCGGGAAGAGCUCAAAUUUGAAAUCUUCAAGGUUCUACCUUGACGAAUUGUAGUUUAAAGAAGUGUUUUCUGUUGGAGUUUUGGUAAAAGUUCUUUGGAAUAGGACAUCAUAGAGGGUGAGAAUCCCGUAUUUGACCAUUAUUUCCAACUUUGUGAUACACUUUCAAAGAGUCGGAUUGUUUGGGAAUGCAGUCCAAAAUGGGUGGUAAAUUUCAUCUAAAGCUAAAUACUGGCGAGAGACCGAUAGCGAACAAGUACCGUGAGGGAAAGAUGAAAAGAACUUUGAAAAGAGAGUUAAACAGUACGUGAAAUUGUCAAAAGGGAAGCGUUUGACACCAGUGUUGUUUUCUCGAAAAUCAAUUAAAAAUGAGUGGAUUUUGUGUUGUAUUGACUUUAUCAGCUUUCUGCACUUCUUUUCUUGUCUUUUUUAAUGCACUUUUCGUUUAACAAGUCAACAUCAAUUUCUUUUGUUGUAAAAGAGUCAUUGGAAGGUGGCUUUCUUUUCGGAGAAAGUGUUUAUAGCCUUUGGCUUCUGCAAUCGGAGAGAUUGAGGUCUGCAGCGUAGAUCCUUCGGGGUUAGAUACAUUUGUGCUAAGUUAUAGCCUUUCAUAGACAACUUGUUGACUAUGAUCAGUCAUGUAGCUUACUCGCUUAUGCUAUUUUACCUACGCUUAGGAUGUUGAUCUGUAGUGCGUGCGC
rnacentral:rRNA from 1 species